GAUGAACGCUGGCGGCGUGCCUAAUACAUGCAAGUCGAGCGAACAGACGAGGAGCUUGCUCCUCUGACGUUAGCGGCGGACGGGUGAGUAACACGUGGAUAACCUACCUAUAAGACUGGGAUAACUUCGGGAAACCGGAGCUAAUACCGGAUAAUAUAUUGAACCGCAUGGUUCAAUAGUGAAAGACGGUUUUGCUGUCACUUAUAGAUGGAUCCGCGCCGCAUUAGCUAGUUGGUAAGGUAACGGCUUACCAAGGCAACGAUGCGUAGCCGACCUGAGAGGGUGAUCGGCCACACUGGAACUGAGACACGGUCCAGACUCCUACGGGAGGCAGCAGUAGGGAAUCUUCCGCAAUGGGCGAAAGCCUGACGGAGCAACGCCGCGUGUGUGAUGAAGGUCUUCGGAUCGUAAAACUCUGUUAUUAGGGAAGAACAAAUGUGUAAGUAACUAUGCACGUCUUGACGGUGCCUAAUCAGAAAGCCACGGCUAACUACGUG
rnacentral:rRNA from 1 species